UUACUUACCUGGCAGGGGAGACAUCAUGAUCAGGCAGGUGGUUUUCCCAGGGCGAGGCUCAUCCCCUGCUCUCCGGGUGUGCUGACCCCUGCGAUUUCCCCUGUGAUGCUUCAAAUACGUU
rnacentral:snRNA from 12 species